UGGGGAAUAUUGGACAAUGGGGGGAACCCUGAUCCAGCCAUGCCGCAUGUGUGAAGAAGGCCUUAUGGUUGUAAAGCACUUUAAGCGAGGAGGAGGGUACUGGUAUUAAUACUACCAGGUACUGGACGUUACUCGCAGAAUAAGCACCGGCUAACUCUGUGCCAGCAGCCGCGGUAAUACAGAGGGUGCGAGCGUUAAUCGGAUUUACUGGGCGUAAAGCGUGCGUAGGCGGCUAAUUGAGUCGGAUGUGAAAUCCCCGAGCUUAACUUGGGAAUUGCAUUCGAUACUGGUUAGCUAGAGUGUGGGAGAGGAUGGUAGAAUUCCAGGUGUAGCGGUGAAAUGCGUAGAGAUCUGGAGGAAUACCGAUGGCGAAGGCAGCCAUCUGGCCUAACACUGACGCUGAGGUACGAAAGCAUGGGGAGCAAACAGG
rnacentral:rRNA from 1 species